rnacentral:lncRNA from 1 species
GUUGUAGGGAGUGAUUGCAUGUAGUGGUGUUGGUGGUCUUAGAGACGCAUCUGUGAAUGCCCGUAAGAGGACUUUCAACCAUUGAUUCCAAUCUCAUUUGUGGCUGCUUCUUGCUGAUGUUAAGAAGUUGUUUUGUUGAUUGAGAAGUUGAAUGAGGUUAUCAAGGAGCUCGUUAAGGAAAAUGAAACAGAGAAGGAAAUGUUCAAAGAUAAAAAAGAUAAAGUGGAGAAAGAUGUUAUGCUCGUUACGUUACGAUGAUGAACACUGAAGUUAUGUUAACAACUUUGGUUCGAAAAUAGCUAUAAACACUUAUAGUUUGAAUGUUUGAAUUUGGGUUAUUUGAUGUUUUGAUUUAAGUGUUUAUUAUGAGGAACGUUGGUUGUUUGUUAUCUUUGAAAUUUCAUAAAAUGGUUAAUUU